rnacentral:rRNA from 1 species
AACGAACGCUGGCGGCGUGCCUAACACAUGCAAGUCGAGCGCGAAAAGGGCAACCUGAGUAGAGCGGCGCACGGGUGCGUAACACGUGGGUAAUCUGCCUUAGAGUCGAGGAUAACCUUCCGAAAGGUUGGCUAAUACUCGGUAAGCUUACGGUGUCUUCGGACGCUGUGGGAAAAGUAGGCCUCUGUUUACAAGCUUACGCUCUGAGAUGAGCCCGCGGCCCAUCAGCUAGUUGGCGGGGUAACGGACCACCAAGGCAACGACGGGUAGCUGGUCUGAGAGGACGAUCAGCCACACUGGAACUGAGACACGGUCCAGACUCCUACGGGAGGCAGCAGUGGGGAAUUUUCCACAAUGGGCGAAAGCCUGAUGGAGCAACGCCGCGUGUGUGAUGAAGGUUUUCGGAUCGUAAAGCACUUUCGACUGGGACGAAAAACCUUUGGCUAACAUCCAGGGGCCUGACGGUACCAGGAGAAGAAGCACCGGCUAACUCUGUGCCAGCAGCCGCCGUAAUAC